rnacentral:rRNA from 1 species
GACGAACGCUGGCGGCGUGCUUAACACAUGCAAGUCGAACGGAAAGGCCCUGCUUUUGUGGGGUGCUCGAGUGGCGAACGGGUGAGUAACACGUGAGUAACCUGCCCUUGACUUUGGGAUAACUUCAGGAAACUGGGGCUAAUACCGGAUAGGAGCUCCUGCUGCAUGGUGGGGGUUGGAAAGUUUCGGCGGUUGGGGAUGGACUCGCGGCUUAUCAGCUUGUUGGUGGGGUAGUGGCUUACCAAGGCUUUGACGGGUAGCCGGCCUGAGAGGGUGACCGGAUAUAUGGGGAAGGUGACAGGGACGAGGGGCAUACGGGAGGCAGCAGGGGGGGAUAGGGCAAAAUGGGGGGGGUCUGGAUGCAGUAACGCCGUGGGCGGGAGGAGGGCGGCCGGGUGGGAAACCGGACUGGGAGGGGAGGAAGCGUGAGGGACGGUAAUUGGUAAAGAAGGACCGGCUAACUAGGUG